rnacentral:rRNA from 1 species
UAAAAAAAGGUAAGCUACUAAGAGCGAAUGGUGGAUGCCUUGACUGGUAAAGGCGAUGAAGGACGUACUAGACUGCGAUAAGCUACGGGGAGCUGUCAAGAAGCUUUGAUCCGUAGAUUUCCGAAUGGGGCAACCCAAUGUAUAGAGAUAUACAUUACCUAUAUAGGAGCGAACGAGGGGAAUUGAAACAUCUUAGUACCCUCAGGAAAAGAAAUCAAUAGAGAUUGCGUCAGUAGCGGCGAGCGAAAGCGCAAGAGGGCAAACCCAGUGCUUGCACUGGGGGUUGUAGGACUGCAAUGUGCAAGAGGUAAGUUUAGCAGAACAUUCUGGAAAGUAUAGCCAUAGAGGGUGAUAGUCCCGUAUGCGAAAAACAAACCUUAGCUAGCAGUAUCCUGAGUAGGGCGGGACACGAGGAAUCCUGUCUGAAUCCGGGUCGACCACGAUCCAACCCUAAAUACUAAUACCAGAUCGAUAGUGCACAAGUACCGUGAGGGAAAGGUGAAAAGAACUGAGGUGAUCAGAGUGAAAUAGAACCUGAAACCAUUUGCUUACAAUCAUUCAGAGCCCUAUGUAGCAAUACAGGGUGAUGGACUGCCUUUUGCAUAAUGAGCCUGCGAGUUGUGGUGUCUGGCAAGGUUAAGCAAACGCGAAGCCGUAGCGAAAGCGAGUCUGAAUAGGGCGCUUAGUCAGAUGCUGCAGACCCGAAACGAAGUGAUCUAUCCAUGAGCAAGUUGAAGCUAGUGUAAGAACUAGUGGAGGACUGAACCCAUAGGCGUUGAAAAGCCCCGGGAUGACUUGUGGAUAGGGGUGAAAGGCCAAUCAAACUUCGUGAUAGCUGGUUCUCUCCGAAAUAUAUUUAGGUAUAGCGUUGUGUCGUAAUAUAAGGGGGUAGAGCACUGAAUGGGCUAGGGCAUACACCAAUGUACCAAACCCUAUCAAACUCCGAAUACCUUAUAUGUAAUCACAGCAGUCAGGCGGCGAGUGAUAAAAUCCGUCGUCAAGAGGGAAACAACCCAGACUACCAGCUAAGGUCCCUAAAUCUUACUUAAGUGGAAAACGAUGUGAAGUUACUUAAACAACCAGGAGGUUGGCUUAGAAGCAGCCAUCCUUUAAAGAAAGCGUAAUAGCUCACUGGUCUAGUGAUUUUGCGCGGAAAAUAUAACGGGGCUAAAGU